rnacentral:tRNA from 1 species
CAGCCGCGUGGAAGAAGGCCUCCUUGGAGGGUUGAGGGCCCUCGAGCGGUUUGCCGUUCAGGUCGAUGGUGGCCAG